UUAGAUAAAACCAAAAUAGAGGUAUACUUCUGUUAAUAGUAAAAUUGAACAUAAUUCUAUCUAAAC
rnacentral:tRNA from 1 species